rnacentral:rRNA from 1 species
UUCGGUGGUCAUAGCGUUAGGGAAACGCCCGGUUACAUUCCGAACCCGGAAGCUAAGCCUUUCAGAGGCGAUCGUGCAGCGGGGGAGA